UACAGAGGGGGCAAGCGUUAUUCGGAAUUAUUGGGCGUAAAGGGCGCGAGUAGGCGGCUUUGUCAAGUGACGGGUGAAAUCCCUCGGCUUAACCGAGGAACUGCCUGUCAAACUGCAUGGCUUGAGACCGGGAGAGGUGAGUGGAAUUCCCAGUGUAGCGGUAGAAAUGCGUAGAUAGUUGGGAGGAACACCAGUGGCGAAGGCGGCUCACUGGACCGGUACUGACGCUGAUGCGCGAAAGCGUGGGAGCAACAGG
rnacentral:rRNA from 1 species